UUAAACUGAAGAGUUUGAUCAUGGCUCAGAUUGAACGCUGGUGGCAGGCUUAACACAUGCAAGUCGAACGGUAACGGGUUGAAAGCUUGCUUUCGACGCUGACGAGUGGCGGACGGGUGAGUAAUGCUUGGGAAUCUGGCUUAUGGAGGGGGAUAACCAUUGGAAACGAUGGCUAAUACCGCAUAGAAUCGGAAGAUUAAAGGGUGGGACUUUUUGCCACCUGCCAUAAGAUGAGCCCAAGUGGGAUUAGGUAGUUGGUGGGGUAAAGGCCUACCAAGCCUGCGAUCUCUAGCUGGUCUGAGAGGAUGGCCAGCCACACUGGGACUGAGACACGGCCCAGACUCCUACGGGAGGCAGCAGUGGGGAAUAUUGCGCAAUGGGGGGAACCCUGACGCAGCCAUGCCGCGUGAAUGAAGAAGGCCUUCGGGUUGUAAAGUUCUUUCAGUGGUGAGGAAGGUUGGUGUGUUAAUAGCACACUGAUUUGACGUUAGCCACAGAAGAAGCACCGGCUAACUCCGUGCCAGCAGCCGCGGUAAUACGGAGGGUGCGAGCGUUAAUCGGAAUAACUGGGCGUAAAGGGCACGCAGGCGGUAAAUUAAGUGAGAUGUGAAAUCCCCGAGCUUAACUUGGGAAUUGCAUUUCAGACUGGUUUACUAGAGUACUUUAGGGAGGGGUAGAAUUCCACGUGUAG
rnacentral:rRNA from 1 species